CAGUAGCCGCGGUAAUACGAAGGGUGCAAGCGUUACUCGGAAUUACUGGGCGUAAAGCGUGCGUAGGUGGUGGUUUAAGUCCGUUGUGAAAGCCCUGGGCUCAACCUGGGUAUUGCAGUGGAUACUGGGUCACUAGAGUGUGGUAGAGGAUAGUGGAAUUUCCGGUGUAGCGGUGAAAUGCGUAGAGAUCGGGAGGAACAUCAGUGGCGAAGGCGGCCAUCUGGGACAACACUGACGCUGAGGCACGAAAGCGUGGGGAGCAAACAGGAUUAGAUACCCCUGUAGUCCCUGUCUCUUAUAC
rnacentral:rRNA from 1 species